ACCAUUUGAAUGCCAAACUUGUGGACGGAAGUAUAAGUAUAAAGGAGGCAUGACGCACCACCUUCGAUUUGAGUGUCAAAAAGAACCUACCUUCUGUUGCAGACGUUGUCCUUAUAAAACAAAAACUAAAAGUAGUUUAACUAGACACAUACUGGCUAGACAUACAAAUAAAGGCGAUACUAUAAAUAUCAAGAGAAUAACAACACUUGGUUCGUUUGCAACACAUGUCAAAUGAAGUACAGACAUCGUCAAUCGGCCCAUAGACACGUGAAGACUGAAUGUAACAUACCAAGAUUUUCCUGUGGUUUUUGUUUGAUGAAAUUUGCUGAUAAAAAAAUGCUUAAAAUUCACAAACGUUUCUGUAGUAAACAAUGAAACCUCUACAUGAAGAGACUUAUUAUUCGUUAUUAUUAUUAUUAUAUAUGAAGAGGAGAAAGAAGGAUUAUUGAGAUGUGAUAAAUGUUAAUUCAUACCGACAAAUGUAUAUAGAUAUGUUGAUAAAUAAAUAUAGAGAUGCAGAAGG